AUUGAACGCUGGCGGAAUGCUUUACACAUGCAAGUCGAACGGUAGAGGGGGCAACCUCUUGAGAGUGGCGAACGGGUGAGUAAUGUAUCGGAACGUGCCCAGUCGUGGGGAUAACGUAGUGAAAAUUACGCUAAUACCGCAUACGAUCUAUGGAUGAAAGCGGGGGAUCGCAAGACCUCGCGCGAUUGGAGCGGCCGAUAUCAGAUUAGGUAGUUGGUGAGGUAAAGGCUCACCAAGCCAACGAUCUGUAGCUGGUCUGAGAGGACGACCAGCCACACUGGAACUGAGACACGGUCCUGACUCCUACGGGAGGCAGCAGUGGGGAAUUUUGGACAAUGGACGCAAGUCUGAUCCAGCCAUUCCGCGUGCAGGACGAAGGCCUUCGGGUUGUAAACUGCUUUUGUACGGAACGAAAAAGCUCUUAUUAAUACUAGGAGUCCAUGACGGUACCGUAAGAAUAAGCACCGGCUAACUACGCGCCAGCCGCCGCCGUAA
rnacentral:rRNA from 1 species